GGACCGUGGCUAUGGAGUCCGGCGUGGCAGCGGCAAUCCCUGGCCAAAGGUACUUGGGGUCAUUUUCCGCGGGGGGUUACGUGCGGGAGCGUGUCCUCCACAAACGGAUUUUCCCCCCUUAAGCGGACUUAUUUCCAUCCGGAGUGACAGAAUUUAAUUCCAAACCGAGAGCUUUCCAGACUGACGAAUUUUUACCGGGACUAACAGAGAAUUACCUCAGCCUGACAACAUUUUAUCUCGUGCGCCACUUCGGGAUCCGAGUGGAGCCGAAAGUCGAGAUAGAGCGCAGUUGGGCCUUGGGUUCGAAAAGACUGGACAGAGGUUUCAGUGAGCCGAGAUCGCGCCACUGCACCCCGGCCUGGGCGACAGAGCGAGACUCCGUCUCAAAAAAAGAAAAAGAAAAAAGCCUGGAAAGAAAUUCUGCGGAAUAGAAGUCUUUAAGAAAUGAGAUCGUGCCCUUUAAAACUAAGUUUAACAAUAGUGAGGGCUUAAUAAACGAUAGGUGUUAUCUCUGGGUUGGAGGGGAAUACCUUCAAUUU
rnacentral:lncRNA from 1 species